rnacentral:rRNA from 1 species
UACGUAGGGAGCAAGCGUUGUCCGGAAUCAUUGGGCGUAAAGCGCGCGUAGGUGGCCUCAUAAGUCCGCUGUGAAAGUCAAAGGCUCAACCUUUGAAAGCCGGUGGAUACUGUGGGGCUAGAGUACGGAAGAGGCGAGUGGAAUUCCUGGUGUAGCGGUGGAAUGCGCAGAUAUCGGGAGGAACACCGGUGGCGAAGGCGGUUCUCUGGGCCUUACCUGACGCUGAGGAGCGAAAGCGUGGGGAGCGAACAGG